AGUGAACGCUGGCGGUAGGCCUAACACAUGCAAGUCGAACGGCAGCACAGUAAGAGCUUGCUCUUACGGGUGGCGAGUGGCGGACGGGUGAGGAAUACAUCGGAAUCUACUUUUUCGGGGGGGAUAACGUAGGGAAACUUACGCUAAUACCGCAUACGACCAACGGGAGAAAGCAGGGGAUCUUCGGACCUUGCGCGAUUGAAUGAGCCGAUGUCGGAUUAGCUAGUUGGCGGGGUAAAGGCCCACCAAGGCGACGAUCCGUAGCUGGUCUGAGAGGAUGAUCAGCCACACUGGAACUGAGACACGGUCCAGACUCCUACGGGAGGCAGCAGUGGGGAAUAUUGGACAAUGGGCGCAAGCCUGAUCCAGCCAUGCCGCGUGGGUGAAGAAGGCCUUCGGGUUGUAAAGCCCUUUUGUUGGGAAAGAAAAGCAGCAGGUUAAUACCCCGCUGUUCUGACGGUACCCAAAGAAUAAGCACCGGCUAACUUCGUG
rnacentral:rRNA from 1 species